rnacentral:tRNA from 1 species
GCCCUAAUAGUAUAACUAUUACCUUGGCCUUGUAAGCCAAAAAUGAAGACACCCAUUCUUCUUAGAGCA